CUCUAGAGCUGAGGGGAACAUGGUUGCCCCACAGCUGCACAGGGAGCCUGGAGCACCAGCAGUUGCCGAUCUGACUUAAUGGUGUUGGAUCUGACAGCUGCCUAUGAAGCAAUCUGGAUCUUCAAAUUAAGAAGAUCUCAAAGGAAGCUUUGGUGUUUUAUCUCGGGAAUCUAUGGGACCAGCCUAGUCUCGGUAUGAUGCCAGACAGGACCAACAGGACAUACAACCUAUGAUCCAGGUGGAAGAUGUUGAAAUUAUCCAUUUCUGGCUCCUGAGUGGCACAUACAAGGACAAAGGAGAGACUGGAAACACUGCACAGCAAGAGACCGCUCUGUCCACUAAGAAGAGAAGAUGAAGCAUUUGAAUCUUGAGUAGCAGGACUCAUUAGGAUGGACCCUCUUCGGCCAAAAAAGGGGGUUGCUUUACCUUUGAUUUGCUUUCUUUUUAUAGUGUAUGCAUGCAAGGUUUGUUUGAUUUUGAGUGGGGAAAUAAAAGUCUGCUUUGGCAGACACUGAACAAAUUUGCUGAUAUACAGAAAAACACCGAGAUGGCAAAAUCUGGGAGGAGGUCUUGUCUUAGAGUUUUCACAGGCAAAUGAAGAACAGGCUCAUGACCAAGGUGCCGAGGCCUUGGGCGGAAUUGGGAAGGAGGCGAAGGAGGAAGUGAGGCUUCCUUCCCAUUUAAGGACCCUGACCCUGACCCAUGAGACAUAUAGGAGUCACCGUAAUAUUUGUAAGUGUGGGAGAGCCAACACAAAGAAUCUGGGCCAUAGCUACAACGCAUCUGAUGUGCAGGGGAACGCAUCCUUUUGUUUCUCACUUCUGAUU